rnacentral:rRNA from 1 species
AGCAGGAUGAGUGGAGCUUGCUCCAUGAUUCAGCGGCGGACGGGUGAGUAAUGCCUAGGAAUCUGCCUGGUAGUGGGGGAUAACGUUUCGAAAGGAACGCUAAUACCGCAUACGUCCUACGGGAGAAAGUGGGGGAUCUUCGGACCUCACGCUAUCAGAUGAGCCUAGGUCGGAUUAGCUAGUUGGUGGGGUAAUGGCCCACCAAGGCGACCAUCCGUAACUGGUCUGAGAGGAUGAUCAGUCACACUGGAACUGAGACACGGGCCACACUCCUACCGGAGGCACCAUUGGGCAAUAUUGGACACUGGGGGAAGCCCUGAUCCGGCGCUGCCACGUGUGGGAAGAAGGU